UACGUAGGGUGCGAGCGUUGUCCGGAUUUAUUGGGCGUAAAGGGCUCGUAGGCGGCGUGUCGCGUCGGGAGUGAAAGCCCGUUGCUUAACGGCGGGUUGGCUUUCGGUACGGCAUGCUGGAGUGCGGCAGGGGAGACUGGAAUUCCUGGUGGUAGGCGGUGGAAUGCGCAGAUAUCAGGAGGAACACCGGUGGCGAAGGCGGGUCUCUGGGCCGUUACUGGACGCUGAGGAGCGAAGCGUGGGGAGCGAACAGG
rnacentral:rRNA from 1 species